AUUGAACGCUGGCGGCAGGCUUAACACAUGCAAGUCGAGCGGAGAUGAGGUGCUUGCACCUUAUCUUAGCGGCGGACGGGUGAGUAAUGCUUAGGAAUCUGCCUAUUAGUGGGGGACAACAUUCCGAAAGGAAUGCUAAUACCGCAUACGCCCUACGGGGGAAAGCAGGGGAUCUUCGGACCGUGCGCUAAUAGAUGAGCCUAGGUCGGAUUAGCUAGUGGGUGGGGUAAAGGCCUACCAAGGCGACGAUCUGUAGCGGGUCUGAGAGGAUGAUCCGCCACACUGGGACUGAGACACGGCCCAGACUCCUACGGGAGGCAGCAGUGGGGAAUAUUGGACAAUGGGCGGAAGCCUGAUCCAGCCAUGCCGCGUGUGUGAAGAAGGCCUUUUGGUUGUAAAGCACUUUAAGCGAGGAGGAGGCUACUUAGAUUAAUACUCUAGGAUAGUGGACGUUACUCGCAGAAUAAGCACCGGCUAACUCUGUGCCAGCCGCCGCGGUAAAAC
rnacentral:rRNA from 1 species